rnacentral:rRNA from 1 species
CAGUAGCCGCGGGAAUACGUAGGGUGCAAGCGUUAAUCGGAAUUACUGGGCGUAAAGCGUGCGCAGGCGGUUCUAUAAGACAGAUGUGAAAUCCCCGGGCUCAACCUGGGAACUGCAUUUGUGACUGUAGAGCUGGAGUGCGGCAGAGGGGGAUGGAAUUCUGCGUGUAGCAGUGAAAUGCGUAGAUAUGCGGAGGAACACCGAUGGCGAAGGCAACCCCCUGGGCCUGCACUGACGCUCAUGCACGAAAGCGUGGGGAGCAAACAGGAUUAGAGACCCGGGUAGUCCCUGUCUCUUAUAC